AGCCUUCUGUAACCGUGCUGAGAUUUCGUUAGCAAUCAACCCACUGGGUCUGAUGCAAAUUCCCAAAUAAGUGAAGUG
rnacentral:pre_miRNA from 1 species